CUUAGUUCAAUUUUUAUCACAGCCAUUAUCACACUUCCAACUUCAACAGUUGAUAGACCCAAUGGACCAGUGGAUCAAGAUGAUUGAGGAGGAACCAGACGUCGACAGGAGACUUGAUCUUAUUUUGAUAAUUCUAGGCCUAACCCUUCGUGCCAAAGAACGCAUGAAGCAGCUAGUUUAGAUUCUUUUUUGGAAACUUGGUAUUUUGUACUAAGAUUAAGCUACCUGAUGAUUUGAAACUUAUAGUUUAAUCACUAUUAUUGGGAUGAUUUAGUUAUUCUGACGUAAGUUCAUUUUCA